UACGUAGGGUGCAAGCGUUAAUCGGAAUUACUGGGCGUAAAGCGUGCGCAGGCGGUUUUGUAAGUCUGUCGUGAAAGCCCCGGGCUCAACCUGGGAAUGGCAAUGGAUACUGGCAAGCUAGAGUGUGUCAGAGGAUGGUGGAAUUCCCGGUGUAGCGGUGAAAUGCGUAGAGAUCGGGAGGAACAUCAGUGGCGAAGGCGGCCAUCUGGGACAACACUGACGCUGAGGCACGAAAGCGUGGGGAGCAAACAGG
rnacentral:rRNA from 1 species